rnacentral:tRNA from 1 species
GGGCCGUUAGCUCAAUGGCAGAGCUGAGGACUUUUAAUCCACAGCAAUCUCUGUCGGCACUCCCACGGUCCU